ensembl:lncRNA
AACUUGCCCACCAUCCAACAAAAUGUGGACACACUUGCAAACCAGUCUUCCUUAUUGACUGGCAGACAGCUUGUGUUUUCUGUUGCUUAGGUUGGCUCGAGUCUGUGGAUUGGGGUCUCGUCUGCUUCACCAAUACCAGUGGCUGUCUGGGGCAUGCUAUUCUCAUUGCAGACCACAGAAAUAUUCAGACCUGCUUUGUUUUGAGUAUGUGCUCAUUAUCUGCUAAAGUGUGUUUUCACUACUACUAUUGGAAGCAUACACAGGGAGCUGGCCGUGAGCUUCUCCACUGAACUCCUGGGCUUCCAUAAAAAACCCAACACUCAUCCAUUUGAAUGACCAGAAUAAUUUAAACACUUAGCAAGAACAAGUCAGCAGAACCUGAGAAUAAAGAGAACUUGUACAUUUUCAGUGAGCUCCUGCAAGUUUCUUUGGGAAUUUCAUCUAAAGAAAAUCAAGCAUAAAUGUUUGUUUUAAGUGAGAAACAAACUCUUGUCAGGAUUGCAGCUGAUCAGACGUUCUGGCUGUGUCUGAAACUGCCAAGAGGUGUUCUUGCAGAACAUCCUUUUGCUAUUGUG